GUAGGGAAUCUUCCACAAUGGACGAAAGUCUGAUGGAGCAACGCUGCGUGAGUGAAGAAGGUUCUCGGAUCGUAAAACUCUGUUGUGAGGGAAGAACAAGUACCGGAGUAACUGCCGGUACCUUGACGGUACCUCAUUAGAAAGCCACGGCUAACUACGUGCCAGCAGCCGCGGUAAUACGUAGGUGGCAAGCGUUGUCCGGAAUCAUUGGGCGUAAAGCGCGCGCAGGCGGUCCCUUAAGUCUGAUGUGAAAGCCCACGGCUCAACCGUGGAGGGUCAUUGGAAACUGGGGGACUUGAGUGCAGAAGAGGAAAGCGGAAUUCCAAGUGUAGCGGUGAAAUGCGUAGAGAUUUGGAGGAACACCAGUGGCGAAGGCGGCUUUCUGGUCUGUAACUGACGCUGAGGCGCGAAAGCGUGGGGAGCAAACAGGAUUAGAUACCCCGGUAGUCC
rnacentral:rRNA from 1 species